GUAGAGAGAGUGAAGGACGAGUGAAAAUUGAAAGAUUCUCAGUUGGCAAGCACCCCAAUGUAGUGGGCAAUGUCUCUUCCAAGUUCCUCUCCACUCCUUCACAUUGCAUCCUCAACUCCUCCUCCAACCUCCAACGGUCACUUCCCUCCUCCACCACGCCCCGACUCUCUCGUAUCCUUCUUCUUCUUCUUCGGAACGACGACGUUUAAUCCCCACUGUGAAUCCCUUCACUCCCUUACUUUCUCAAAGCAUCCCAUUUGCUGUUGCUCUCCCUCCUCCAUGUCCUCCCUGGCAUCCCCUUCAACCUCUCCGGUUCUCCCAUUCUCUUCUCCAUAUUCUGUUCUCAAAAAGUAAUUUCUGAAUUACAGAGUUUCAAUUAUGUAUGUGGUAAUUAGUUAGCGUUUUUAUUUUGUGGUAAAAUGGUCUGUAUCAGUUCCAGGACAGCUUGUUGUAUUCAAGAGCGUACUGUGUCAGUGAAUCCAUUAUUGUAUGGGAUGUGGAUGUUGGAAAUGAUUGCUGCUGCUUAUUUGCUAGUAAAGGCGCUGCUUUGUCACUUACUGAUGAUGGUAUUCGAGCAGAUAGGUCUGCAGUCGGGGUGUAUUGGAUGAAUUGUUCUCGUAUAGUGGCCCCAUUGGUGCACUUUACUCAAACAAAGCUGUGUCACUUGUCCUCUGGGGCGCCUACUGUGCAAUUUAUCUGUUUUCACCAUGGCCCCUGCGGGUGCACUUUACUCAGACAAGGCUGUGUCACUUUUUCUUUGGGCGCCUACUGCUGAAGUACGGGCUUGCAUUUAUAAAGAUGUAUCAGCAGAUAAUCCCCAAGAAAUUGUCUGGGUAGAGGAGGAUAAUGGUGUUUGGAAAACUAAAGGACCAAAGGGUGAGGAAGGCUGCUAUUAUGUUUAUGAAGUAUCUGUCUACCAUUCUAGCAUCCAGAAAAUCGAAAAAUGCUACGCAGAGGAUCCAUAUGCUAGAGAGUAUACUGGUUGUAUACUAGAGAGUAUACUGUAGGGAAUUUGAUGCAGUUGAUUAAAGAUUUCUACAGCCUUGGACUAGAAAGAGUCGAGCAUACAUUUUCAUAUGUCAUCGCUAUUAAACCUGCUUAAUUACAUUCUAUUUUAUUUUUAUUUUUAUUUCUGUUCUUUCUUUUCUUUCUCGUGUUAUUUAUGUUCUCCUAUUGCUGCAUUAAGACUGACGGAAAGGAUUGAUAUCAGUAUCCAAGGAGAUACAAAAUGCCUCUUUUAUACAAAAUUGUCUUGGAGUCUACUUCAGCCUAUAUUCUGACAAAUGAAGACAAGUUUCAAUUAUUAUUUUGGCUUUCUUGAUUUGAUUAUUAGUUUUGGUGCUAUGUUGAUUUCUACAUGUGUUUUUCUUCUCUUACAUGCUACAUUGAUCUACAGUGCCAGUGACCACAUUAUAAAUUUCGUGGUGGUUAUCUGACCUUCACUACGCUGAUAAUGAGACACUUAAAAAGUUUCCUCCACAUUCAGCUCAGCAACAAGCUCUAAUUACAGCUGUCGAAAAUGAUGAUGGUACAACUGGGGGGUAUCCCAAAGGCAGCAAUACAAGUAACCCAACUGGUUCCUGCCAUAUAAUUUAGAAAGAUGGUCCAGGCACUUAAUCGUAUUGGUCUCACGUUGUUGGAUGUUGUCUACGACCAUUUGCAUGGAAGCGGGGGUCCUUUGAUGAAAAUUCAGUUCUUGACAAGGUCGUGAUUUCUUUAUUAUUAAUUUUGUGUGUCUACCAUUGCUUAACUCAUAAUUUGUUAUUCCUGCAAAGUUUGCCUGCUCUUCUCUUGUCCUUGGCAGAUUGUUCCAGGUUACUAUUUGAGAAGAAACACUGCUGGUUUCAUAGAGAAUAGCAGAUGUGUCAAUAACACUGAGUGAGCAUUUAUGGUUUAGCGUUUAAUUAUUGAUGAUCUUUUGCACUGGACAGUUGACUAUAAGGUGAUUAUUUAGACUGUAAGAUGGUUAAAAACAGUUUUGCAUACUAGCGCACAAGCUUUUUUUGUUCCUAUUCAAGAUAGGGUUUAUGAUUUUGAUGUAUCAGUAUAGCUAUAAUUCUUGAUUUUAAACCAUUUUCAAUCAGUUUUAUGGCCUUUUGUUUAGGUUGAUGGGUUCCGUUUUGAUCUUCUGGGUCACAUAAUGAAAAGAACAAUGGUUAGGAAGUCUGACCAACUUGGCAUGGUGUGACCAUAAACACAAAAUGGCUAAGCAACUAACAGUAAUAAUAAUAUGUCUAUCGAUGAUAGCAAAAGAUGUGCUGUGCAGCCUAAAAACAGAGAGGGAUGGAGUUGAUGGUUCUAGUGUCUACAGAGAUAUGGUGAAGGUGGGAUUUUGGUGUAGUUGCCUAGAAUGGAUGCGGAGUUAAUGCAUCACGGUUCCAUCUUCCUCGGACUGGAAUUCGGAGUUUCAACGAUCGAAUCUGGGUUGCAAUACUUGGUGGAUCUUCAUUUGGCCAUCCACUUCAGCAAGGAUUUGCGACUGCUCUAUUUUUGCAGAUAUAUAAUGAUUUAACAUUUUUAAGGUUUGUUUUAGAUUUUGGUUGAUUCAGUCUCUGCAGGGAAAUUUUCCUACAGAACCUGUUAAAUGUUGUUUUCCUAUGUUCAAAUCUUAGUAAAACAAGACUUCCAAUUCUAUUAAUGACCUAAUGACUAGAGUAUACACAAAUUAACUUUUUGAUGAUGAAGUUGUAAUUAAGUUUACUGCUAGAACUGGUGCUAUUGGAGGUAAUGUUCUCUUUGAUGUUAGGUAAUUGCUAAUGCAAUCAUGGGCUAAUGAAUAGUGCAUCCAUAAAUUAGAAUUGAUGUUGCAAUGAGGUUCUUUACCGGAUUUGAGGGUGAUCAGCAGAAAAUUUUGCCUUCUUAUGCACAUUUUUUCUUUAAUAUAUGGUUAUUUUACUUCUAUUAGAAUGUUUAUUGAUUAUCUUUCUGCAGCCUAAUGGUCACAACCAGGACACAGCUGCUGAAAAACUUGUGCUUGCUGUGUCAAAGGAUCACAUCCAGGCUAAAUGUCUUGUUCAAUUGAUGUAUUUAUGGUCCAUACAUGCAUACUAAUGGUGAAAUUAGAAGAUCUCUUAAUAUUCAUGGCAUAAAGCUGCACAGCAGACUGAAUCAAUGAACAUCUUUUGGUGCUUAGAACUUUAGGUCUUUAAUCAUCUGGUUGCAUGAUGUAAUUUCGAGGUAAACGAGAUCUUUCACUUUGCAAUAAGUUAAUAGAGGCCAACUUUUUGUGCUACUUGUGAGUGAUGAGUUCCCAACUUAGAGAACUGAUAUGAAGAAGGAUCAUGCAGACCAAGUUAAUUAGUUCUUGUUCUAUUUCUUUGUCAAUAAGUAGAAAUUUGCAGUGCCUAAAAUUCUAGUCAUUAAGUCUUUUGCUUUCUAGGUACAUCUAUUCCCAUGUGCACUACAUCUAUUCUUAAUUUCUUAUCCAAGAUUUUGCAUAUUAUUAUGAAUGAAUUUAUGUGUUUCUUUUUUUCUUUUUUUCUUUUUUUUUACUUUUUUUUUUUUUUUUUAAAUUCCCUAUUUGUGCAUGCUAGCAUGCUUGUACUAUUGACCGCUUCCACAAAUGUUUCAUAUCAACAUAAACAAUUUUCAUGUUCAUGCUCCUCUAUUAGAACUAUAUCUGUCUCCUAAUCUAACCAUUCUUCGAUUUAUAUAAGAACCAGGAUCCUAUAUCUUCUCUCACACGAGACAAAUGUUCCCUAAUGAUGUCUUUUAUUGUUAUAUAUUUGCUACUUAUCAAGCAAGUUACUCUUUAUUCGGGUAGGGCUGGCUGCCAAUUUGAGGGAGUUUGUGCUAACUGUGCUAACUGAUUAUGAAGGGAAAGAGGUAUACAAUAAUACCUGACAAUAAAGUCAGAUUCAGUUGAUAUAAAACUGAAAAUAGAUUGCCUUUAACAUUUGCAUUAUGAUUUACUCAGGUAAAAGGGUUGGAAGUAUCAACUCAUGAUGGAGUACCAGUUGCAUAUGCUUCAUGCCACUGUAAGGAUCGAAUCCAAAAUUGCUUGAUACUCUGAAUUUUGAUUCUGUAAAUGAGUAUGGUGCAUGAGGAACUUGCUUAUGCAGGAUCAUCUUUUAUGUUCUUUGGUAGAUCUCUGGAUAUCUUGUGUGCAAGCUCAUAAAUCUUUUUCAAUUCAUGUCAAUCUUUAAUCCUGAAUUCUUUGGAAAAAUUAAGGAUUCAUCUUGCAUUAUGCUUUAUGGAUUCCCUUUUUUUAUAGUAGAUCGGAAAAGCAAAAUCUUUGAUUGUUAAUCAAAGGACAAUCUCGUUUACAAAACGCUGACAAUCUUCUUUUUAUGGUGAACCCAAACAAGGUUGAAGAAAGAAAAGAUUUUAAAAGACAUGAGUUAUCUAACAACAACAGUCAAUAUGAAUGAAUAUAAGAGAGAGGGAAUCUCAAUGGCUUUGGGAUGAAGGGUAUUGGUACUUUUCAAGGCAGUUGGAGGUGUAUGCUCCAGAUUUCCUCAAAAGCUUCUAUCUUUCGAUGCUAAUUUCUGUUAUCACUCUUAAUAGAUUAUCAGAACCAUUGAUACUUGUCAGUCUUGACAUUUUAAAGCUGACUCUAAUGAUGAUAUAACAUUGCAAAACCAUGUUAUCAAUAUGGUAAAAACUUUCAGGUUCAUUACGUUUCUGCUCAUGAUAAUGAAACCUUUUUUGAUAUUUGUGACCCUGAAGGUAAGAUCAAUAUAUUGUAUAUGUAAGUUUAAAAAUGUUUCAUCUUGUUUCAAACUUAUUGUCUAACUCAGUCCUUUACUCGUAGACCCCAAUUGGAAUUUCUGUGGAUGAAAGAUGCAGGAUAAAUCAUUUGGCAACAAGUAUAAUAGCAUUGUCAGAGGUUUAACUACAUCUGUGUCAGUAUAUGAUGGAAUCACACUUUUCGUUUUCCAUUUCUUUUUGCUUUGUCUUUCUUUAUGUUUUAUAUUCUUUUGGUGUUUUGAUUAAAUCACUUUUUUCAGUUUUUUUAAGUAAAAUUGUCUGUAUUGAGUGUUUGCUUUGAGGAUGGAGCGACUUGCAAUUUAGUUCUAGUAUGAACUUUCAGUUUACACAAUUGUUGUUAUCAAAUCUAGUUGUCAAACGUAGAGUGUAUGUUUAGUUGAGUAUGAAUUUUAGUUUACACAACUGUAGCUAUCAAAUCUAGUUGUCAAACGUAGAGUGUAUAUUAUAAACAUAUUUUGCGUCCUAAGAUGAAUAAACACACAUAAAGACAUAUUCAUAUACUUAGUUGUAGGUAUUCCGAAAAUAUUAUAUUUGUAGUCCAUUUAUGCCAUAUAAAUCUAAAACAUAAAUAAAAGUAUCAUGCAUUUGUAACAUAAAUUAUGAAUUUCUUUGUGUAAAAAUCUUUCUAAAUGAUCAAAUCUUCCUAGGUAACAAGCCAGUUAGAAAAAACAUUUCCUUGUACAUUUUAGGUCAUCUGAUCUUAAUACUGUUAAAAUAUUUGUUUUCCUGAAUUAUUCUUUUGCACAUGUUUGUAGAGUAUUGAUGGCUUUUCUGUCUAAAAAUUGGUGCAUUUGAUAUUAACCGAUCAUGUGGUCAAGAGUCCUAUGUUUGAGACUUUGACAGGAUGCUUCAGUGUACCUGCAAUGACAAAAUUUGUGUUUGUCGAGCCUUGGAGAAUUUGAGUGGGUUGCCCUUUAUCAUGACGCGCUGUAAAUAUGAUAUUGAUGGAUGACUUGACUUUCAUGAUCCCCUGUUGCAUAGUAAGUUCCUGGCAAGAGAUACUAUGAUUGACCCGUUAAUGUGAAAUGUAAAGCUAUAAUCAUUGAUUUUUUUUGGUGCAAAUGAAAAAAUAUUCAUAAAUGUGACUGCAUGAGCAUAAAAACAAUGUUAAAUUUAUACAAACGUAUAGUUGUUACUUAUAACCCAUCCAAGAAUCUUAUCCGCAUUAA